UACGAAAAACAGCUCUGCUCCAAUCCAAGAGGUGGACAUAGAAAGGAAGACCCUGGAAAACAUGGGAAACUGAGUGUAAAUAGAGAGAUAAGACAGUGCUUAGGGAGAAGACUGAUGUUAUAAAUGCCAAGGGUCAUAUUUCUUGUUGAAACAAAUAAAUGAAGUCUUGCUGAAUGCUGGCGAACCUCACUGGGGCUAUGCCAAGGAAGACCGAGUCCUCUGAUAUAUGGAGAGCCAAUCCAGGGCACGGCAACAUAACAUCUCCAAGGCAAAAUGCAGCAGCAAGAUCUUCAGCCCUUGAGGAGUGCUCAUCUCCUCUCUGUGAAAUCCUCCUCAGAUUCAGCAGAAAUAUGUCAAAAAGAAACAUGGGAAGCAAGUACCAACCUCCCACCAGUUGCAGAAAAGUGAGAGCUGGACUUCAGCAUAGUUGAAUGGAAAGUGAAGUAAAUGGGCAAAAUCUCCCACACUAUAUCUAAUCCAAUUUUCUCAGAGAUGAGCUCAGAACAAAAUGGUGUUGUGGGGAAAUAUAGGUUGGUGUUGUUGAUAAAAACAUCAGUUUAACACUUAGAAAUACUCCUGUACCCACCCAGGAGAAAAGAUAAAGGCUUAAACCUUGCCCAUCCUUGUGACACUACAUAAAACCACAGUUUUGAAUCAUUCUGGCUCCCUUUCCUGUCCCAAAGUGGAUAUGUGGUGAUAAGAAUGGGAAUAGAAGAGGCCAAAGAGGAGACAUAGCAAAGCUGCAAAGUCGAGGAAUCAUAGAAUCAUUAAGGCUGGAAAAGACCUCUAAAAUCAUCAGGUCCAGCCCCAACCCACCCUCACCAUGUCCACUGACCACGUCCCUCAGUGCCACAUCUCCAUGGUUCUUGAGCACCUCCAGGGAUGGUGACUUCACCACUUCUCUGGGUGAUGUUCAAAUGGGACUUUCAAAAUUAGUUGAGACUUCUACUGUGCAUUCAUUGUCACGAGACACAGAGUGUUUGGAUUCUCUGUCUGGAAAGAAGUUGGAAAUGAACAAUUUCAAAUGUCUUCCCACAGAGAAACCUGGAUCCACUGGGCUCCUUGGGUGCAUUCAGGCCACGUGAAUAACUGAAGGAAGCACACAUGAAAUGCUUUUGUAAUAAAGCUAUUAUAAGCUGUGAGAGGCAGUGACCAGCUAAUCAGCCAUUCCUCUGCCAUUUUAUGAUCUGAACGAACUUUUAUAUAGCUUUGUUGUGUUUUCAAGUCAUCGUACAACUAAUUGAUGCAAUUAACAUCCCAUCCCUCUUUUUACACUGGUAAUCAUAAGGCAGUACCAGGCCUACAAAGAAGAACAAUAGGACUGGGAUUUUUCAUGUCAAAUAAGGAAAAUAAUUGUCCUUCGAGUAUCCAUAAAAGCACAGACCACUCCAUAGAGAAUAUGAAAUGAAACCUUCCACACUGUGUGUGGGAGAGGAGG
ensembl:lncRNA